AUACGGAGGGGGCUAGCGUUGUUCGGAAUUACUGGGCGUAAAGCGCGCGUAGGCGGAUUGAUCAGUCAGGGGUGAAAUCCCGAGGCUUAACCUCGGAACUGCCUCUGAUACUGUCAAUCUUGAGUUCGAGAGAGGUGAGUGGAAUUCCUAGUGUAGAGGUGAAAUUCGUAGAUAUUAGGAAGAACACCAGUGGCGAAGGCGGCUCACUGGCUAGAUACUGACGCUGAGGUGCGAAAGCGUGGGGAGCAAACAGGAUUAGAAACCCUAGUAGUCC
rnacentral:rRNA from 1 species